GACGAACGCUGGCGGCGUGCCUAAUACAUGCAAGUAGAACGCUGAAGGAGGAGCUUGCUUCUCCGGAUGAGUUGCGAACGGGUGAGUAACGCGUAGGUAACCUGCCUGGUAGCGGGGGGUAACUAUUGGAAACGAUAGCUAAUACCGCAUAACAGUAGAUAUUGCAUGAUAUCUGCUUGGAAGGUGCAAUUGCAUCACUACCAGAUGGACCUGCGUUGUAUUAGCUAGUUGGUGAGGUAACGGCUCACCAAGGCGACGAUACAUAGCCGACCUGAGAGGGUGAUCGGCCACACUGGGACUGAGACACGGCCCAGACUCCUACGGGAGGCAGCAGUAGGGAAUCUUCGGCAAUGGACGGAAGUCUGACCGAGCAACGCCGCGUGAGUGAAGAAGGUUUUCGGAUCGUGAAGCUCUGUUGUAAGAGAAGAACGAGUGUGAGAGUGGAAAGUUCACACUGUGACGGUAUCUUACCAGAAAGGGACGGCUAACUACGUGCCAGCAGCCGCGGUAAUACGUAGGUCCCGAGCGUUGUCCGGAUUUAUUGGGCGUAAAGCGAGCGCAGGCGGUUAGAUAAGUCUGAAGUUAAAGGCUGUGGCUUAACCAUAGUACGCUUUGGAAACUGUUUAACUUGAGUGCAAGAGGGGAGAGUGGAAUUCCAUGUGUAGCGGUGAAAUGCGUAGAUAUAUGGAGGAACACCGGUGGCGAAAGCGGCUCUCUGGCUUGUAACUGACGCUGAGGCUCGAAAGCGUGGGGAGCAAACAGG
rnacentral:rRNA from 1 species